rnacentral:rRNA from 1 species
GCAUACGAUAGCGAGGUCUGCGGAUCUUGCGACAAAAACGCAGGAUUCGCUCUAGGAGGAGCCCGCGGCUGAUUAGCUAGUUGGUGAGGUAAUGGCUCACCAAGGCAACGAUCAGUAGCCGGUCUGAGAGGACGGUCGGCCACACUGGAACUGAGACACGGUCCAGACUCCUACGGGAGGCAGCAGUGGGGAAUUUUUGGCAAUGGGGGCAACCCUGACCAAGCAACGCCGCGUGGGUGAUGAAGUCUCUUGGGACGU